GUGCUCGCUUUAGCAGCACAUAUAUUAAAGUUGGAAUGAUACAGAGACAAUUAUCAUGGCCUCUUUGCAGGGACGAUGCAUAAAUCUGUGAUGCCUUCCAUAUUUUU
ensembl:snRNA U6 U6 spliceosomal RNA